ACAUGCCUACAGUAUAGUGUUAAUGCAUUGGAUCCCAUUAGAACUCUGCAGUUAAGUGCACUCAGGCUAGAGUAGUACUGGGAUGGGUGAUCGCUUGGGAAGUCCUAGUGUUUUCCAUGCC
rnacentral:rRNA from 1 species